rnacentral:rRNA from 1 species
AGCGAACGCUGGCGGCAGGCUUAACACAUGCAAGUCGAGCGGGCGUAGCAAUACGUCAGCGGCAGACGGGUGAGUAACGCGUGGGAACGUACCUUUUGGUUCGGAACAACACAGGGAAACUUGUGCUAAUACCGGAUAAGCCCUUACGGGGAAAGAUUUAUCGCCGAAAGAUCGGCCCGCGUCUGAUUAGCUAGUUGGUGAGGUAACGGCCCACCAAGGCGACGAUCAGUAGCUGGUCUGAGAGGAUGAUCAGCCACAUUGGGACUGAGACACGGCCCAAACUCCUACGGGAGGCAGCAGUGGGGAAUAUUGGACAAUGGGGGCAACCUUGAUCCAGCCAUGCCGCGUGAGUGAUGAAGGCCCUAGGGUUGUAAGGCUCUUUUGUGCGGGAAGAUAAUGGCGGUACCGCAAGAAUAAGCCCCGGCUAACUUCGUGCCAGCCGCCGCCGUAA